CCAACCCUUGAUUAUCCAUUUCUGUUGCUUGUGGCGGGUCUCCCAUCCGGAGCUCGCCAGACGAUUUCUUCUAUCCCUCUGUCAGAGACCAACACCAAUCCUUAAAACUUUCAGCAAUGGAUUUUUAGGUACCCGGUUCGAUGAAGAUCGGAGCAAAAUCCGAAAAGUAGUGUGAAUUGCAGAUUUCGCGAAUCAUCGAAUUAUCGAACGCAUAUUGCGCCCCACGGUAUUCCGUGGAGCAUGCCUGUUUGAGCGUCAUUACACCACAACAAGCCCGGCUUGAUGUUGAGGACUGGCGCGAGCCAUCCUCCAAUGACCUGAUGAAGAUUGUCCGUACACUUCUCGGCCGCGAUGACUCGCACUUCGAGAACUACUGGCUCUCAUCAUUCCAUCAUACCUUUCCGGUUGACCUCAGAUCAGGUAGGAAGACCCGCUGAACUUAAGCAUAUCAAUAAGCGGAGAGAAAAGAAAACAACAGUGAUUGGUCUAGUAACGG
rnacentral:rRNA from 1 species